ensembl:lncRNA
GUAAGAAUCUGACCACGGAAAAACCUAGGAAAUGUACUAUGCUGGUAUUUAAAUAAUUUAUAAAAUAGUAAUGAUCUAGGGCACAUUAAUUUAACUGAAGUCUAUACUUUUCUGUUUUAAGGAAAAAAAAAGGACAAUUGAGCAAAUCUUUUUCAAUGUUAGAUCUAGGAGUUAAUUUUUUUUUUUAUAUUUGUUUUAAUUUCUCCCCCUCCUCUCAUUCAGUCACAGGCUUUGCAGACCAGUACGUGAAACUGUAAAACAGUCAGGAAAACUAAUGGCUGACUCACUCUAGAACAGUCCCUGGGAACCAGUGUGGCUGCAGCUAGAACUGGAAAGACUGUAUUAUGCCUUAAGAAAAGAGAUGUGCACCAUCAGUAAGGAAACACACCCAAGUAAUGAGGCAGUCUCAGGGUGGGGAGUAAGAAGCAGAGGAACGGAAAGGAAGAAAUGGGAAAAGACUGCAUUUGCAUCUCUCUGCAUGCUGACAGAAGGAUCCGGCCAGGCACAACGGGAAUAGAGUUCACUGAAGACAAGGAUUUUUCCCCUCAGAGCCAAGGAUGAAAUGGAGGGUCAAGCAUACAAGAACCGAGCAAGACAAGAUGGAAUAAUUAUUCACAAAUGGACAGAAGAACAUUCCAGGAUUCAUUUCCCAACUUGUGUGGAAUCAGAUGCAGUUGCUGAAGACGAUGUUGUGCUCAGAAAGCUCUUCAGCCACCACUUUUGAGUCUGACAGAGAUCGUGAAUCAGAGCCCUCAGCUGCUGCAGUUCACAGCCAGGGAUAUUUGUGUAAACUGAAAUCAAUAAUGAUUUAAAAGGAGGUACCAGGCCCCGGGCUCUGGGCAUGCCACCCAGUUGGCUGCCACGACAGAGAGGGGAUGAAUCACCAGGACAGGAAUCUCUGACCCCACCUCCCCGUAAAUUGUCAGAGCUCUUGAUCCUGCACCCUUGGACAUCUGCCUCAUCCUGAGCUGCUCCAGCAUCAAUACUGGGGCUUAAAACCAAAGUGCAUACCUGUAUGAGAGUUCUGUAUUAAAAAAAAAAAAACAAAAAACAAAAAACCUCAGCAUGUGAAACAUGCAAAAUAGUACUUUUAGUCUAAAGAGAUUGCUAUUGUAUAUAUGACACUUCCAAUAGUUUAUGAUUGCUCGUAUUAAAUUCUGGAAACAUGACCCCAGAAGAAAUUUAUAUUACAAACUCAUGUGUUCAACUGGUUUUAAG